CUUAAAGAUUCCGGGGUUAGUGGGAUUUACUUCCGGCAGCCAGCGUUGGCCAUGGCUGCCCUCCUCCGAGUUGUGCUGAGGUUGCAGGGGCCAGCUGCAAGGGGAAGGCCUCUGCACAGGCUGUGGUACUGCAGUGGGCAGGAGAAUCCCAAGAGGUGGGUGGGGAACAGGUCACCCACCUUGGAGGAGAAGUCACCAGGCAGAGAGACAGAGAAAUUUCUGAUGGUCUACCGUUUUAACGCAAUCAGGGCCUUUGGGGUCAUAUCUUGGCUGAAAGUGGCACAGACAGCCGUAUCAGUGAUAGUCUUGCCAGUAGGCUACUACUUGUACUUGCAGGGUCAUAUGACUCUUAACUCGCUGUACCUAGCUACUGGGGUGGCUGGCUUCGCCCUGGUCAUGCUGUGCUGGAUGAGCUACUUCUUCCGGAGGCUGGUGGGCAUCCUGUAUGUGAAUGAGUCCGGCACGGUGCUACGAGUGGCUCACCUGUCCUUCUGGGGCCGGCGGCAGGACACAUACUGUCCUGUGGUGGAUGUGAUGCCCCUGACAGAAACCAAAGACCAGCCUCAGAGUACGUUGAUGUGUAUCCGGCAGUACAGUGGGAAGCAGACUUUCUACCUCACUCUACGUCAUGGGCACAUUGUGGACAAAGAGAGGUUCACUCAGGUGUUUGGAGAAGUGGGCACACGCAGGUGAACAUCCGGGAGCUGGGCCACCUGGGACUCUGACUGGAAGGCCAGAGGCAUGGAAAAAGCUGAAGCAGAGCAAUCUCAGGGGCCCUGGGAACUGGUCUCUUGGGAAAUUCAUGAGACAGAAGGUAAUAACCAGUUAUAGGAAAAAGAUGCCUGAUGUUCAAGCAGAAGUUUCUGAAGACCAAUUCUUGGAUGAAGCUGUGCCGGAUUCACUAAGACUGCGAUUGCUACGAAAUUGGAAGGUGGAGGGUGUGGCAGGGAAGCAGAGGAACUGGAGUUGGGGGCCUUAGGUUCUGUCCGUUCUCAGCUCCCAGGCUUGGGCAGGAUAUGGUGUCUGAACCUUGGUUUUCUCAUCUGUCAAAUGGAAAGUCCUGCUUGACUUGUGUUGUCAUUGUGAAAAUAAACAAUGCAUGUCGGCCUGCCGUGUGGCCCAGUGGUGGAACAUUUGGCUUGCACAUGUAAGACCCUAGGUUCCAUCCCAGCACUGCAAAACUAACAGUGACUGCCAGGGGCUUUGCACAGUCAGCAGCCCAGAACUGGGCAGAGAUGACAGCAUGUCAGGAGACUCACAGGCUAAGAGUGGGACUGGGGUGAAGCUGGGGGUGGGUUCCUGUCAUUCUGCUGGGGAAGUAACGGAACCCAGACUGGGUUAGGAACGUUCAUGUGAGCACAACCCUCCAGCUGAACCCAGGUGAUCUCAAUCCUGCAUUGGAAGGUUUUGCCGUAUAAUCCAGGCUGAACUCCUUGCCUGUGCAUUACCAAGUUAAAGGCCACAGGCCACCAUCACUGCUCCCAGCCUCCCUGUUUUCGCAGUGAACACGUCACGUCUAAAGUGUCCAGCGAUGACCCCGCUGCUGGAAACCUGUGGUGGCUCCAACCCGACAUGGAAGGCCCUGGAGGAGGAGGAGCCAAGCCCUGCCUUCUCCUCUGACCUUGUCUCCUGCCUCAUCCGGGCUCCUUUCCUGGUGACCAAGCAAUUCUGACCUCAGGACACAUGUGCCCUGCCUUCGAGCCUUUGUCUGGCUGUGUUCUGACUCCUCUGUCCUCUGCUCAGUCAGCAGGCAGUUCCCGCUCAGCCUCAAAGGGUGAAGGUUCUGACUUGCACCCGCCUGGCUUGGCCCGGCCUUUGGCAUCUGCAGCAUCCGUACCUGUCGCCUUCUGACACCGGGUGGUGGGGACUGCUCCCCUGCUGGAUGUGAGCUGAGGGUCAAGUCCACACUGCGCCCGUCCUGGCAUCUCAUGGUGUGUCUCAUGGUAUGUCCUCGAUGAGCUUGACAAAAUGCCUAAUUCCUAAGCCUGAAGUGAGGUACACAGACAGAGUGUUCCCUCAAGACAUCACCAACAGGUAAUGUUGGACAUUGAUGAAGCUUAGACGGACACUCCCAGGUCCCCUUACCUUUGUUUCUGGCGA